AAGGAGCAACGUCGAGUCUGAUGAAGGGAGAAGACUUGGAAGGUAGAAUAUCGGUGCUGGAAUAGAGAAGCCCCUAAGCCAAGCUUUCUCGUUUUACAGCAGCCCUCCCCCUGUGAGGGGCAAUGGAUUUACCCUUUUGCCUGGAGACCCAGAGAUAGCUGGCUCCUGAGGGGUUAAGAACAAGUCCUGGAGGGGAUAACCCAGCAAAGUGAAGCC
rnacentral:lncRNA from 1 species